rnacentral:pre_miRNA from 1 species
ACUACUUUAUACGUAACUUAUUUUUAAAUCAAUUAGUAUUUUUAUUAUUAUGAGAUGAUAAAAUAUAAAUAGUACUUUAUACGUAACUUAUGUUUUUAAAUCUUUUCAAAAAAAUAAUAAAAUGGACGGUCAAAGUUGUGCACGGAAAAUCAUGGCUGCACUUAAA